UACGUAGGUGGCAAGCGUUAUCCGGAAUUAUUGGGCGUAAAGAGUGAGCAGGCGGCAUGAUAAGUUUGGAGUGAAAGCGUGGGGCUUAACCCCCUACAGCUUCGAAAACUGUCAAGCUAGAGUGCGAGAGAGGUAAACGGAAUUCCAUGUGUAGCGGUGAAAUGCGUAGAUAUAUGGAGGAACACCAGUGGCGAAGGCGGUUUACUAGCUCGAUACUGACGCUCAGUCACGAAAGCGUGGGGAGCAAAUAGG
rnacentral:rRNA from 1 species